rnacentral:rRNA from 1 species
GUGGAUUAGAUACCCUGGUAGUCCACGCCGUAAACGAUGGGUGCUAGGUGUCACGGGCUUUGACUCCUGUGGUGCCGUAGCCAACGCAUUAAGCACCCCGCCUGGGAAGUACGGCCGCAAGGCUAAAACUCAAAGGAAUUGACGGGGGCCCGCACAAGCGGUGGAGCAUGUGGUUUAAUUCGACGCAACGCGAAGAACCUUACCUGGGCUAGAAAAUGCAGGAAUCUGGGAGAAGUCUCGGAGUGCUCUUCGGAGAGCCUGUAGUUAGGUGCUGCACGGCCGUCGUCAGCU